GAUGAACGCUGGCGGCGUGCCUAAUACAUGCAAGUCGAGCGAACGGACGAGAAGCUUGCUUUUCUGAUGUUAGCGGCGGACGGGUGAGUAACACGUGGAUAACCUACCUAUAAGACUGGGAUAACUUCGGGAAACCGGAGCUAAUACCGGAUAAUAUUUUGAACCGCAUGGUUCAAAAGUGAAAGACGGUCUUGCUGUCACUUAUAGAUGGAUCCGCGCUGCAUUAGCUAGUUGGUAAGGAACGGCUUACCAAGGCAACGAUGCAUAGCCGACCUGAGAGGGUGAUCGGCCACACUGGAACUGAGACACGGUCCAGACUCCUACGGGAGGCAGCAGUAGGGAAUCUUCCGCAAUGGGCGAAAGCCUGACGGAGCAACGCCGCGUGAGUGAUGAAGGUCUUCGGAUCGUAAAACUCUGUUAUUAGGGAAGAACAUAUGUGUAAGUAACUGUGCACAUCUUGACGGUACCUAAUCAGAAAGCCACGGCUAACUACGUG
rnacentral:rRNA from 1 species